CAGACAAGUCCUGUGUGCAGGCCUGGGUUUGAACAGGCUGGGCCGAGGCUGGGGACGGAUGAAUGGAAAGCGGGGAGACCUGCUUUAAUAGCACCGUGAUCCUAGUCGGCCUCCCAGCAGGCUGCGCCUCCCAGCACCUAGCAGGCGCUCACAUCAUGAUGGUUGAACGGACGCCCAGUCACUCAGCAAGAGGCAGGCGCUGGUGAGAAGACGGGCUCUGGGAAGGGCACUCUGAGCUGUCCCUGCGCAAGAGUUACGUGCAGCAGAGAGAGAGAAGUCUGUGCCUUUGCUGGCUGAGCAGCUGGCUGAGCAACUACCUGAGCAAGGUGAAGCAGGAGGAGCCGAGUAAUUGGAAGCAGAGUUGCAGGCCGCCCGGCGUGCUUCAGGGAGUUUCUGCACCCAGCCCAGACCGGGUGGGUUUAUCAUCAGCUCAGGCAGCUUGAAAGAGAACCUCGGAGCCCUUGGCAUCAUCCGCACAGGUUGGGGGAAAAAGCCGUCAGGGAGACAGCAGCUUGGGCGCCCCCCGCCGCCUCUGCCGCCCCUAUAUGCUCCGUCUUCCCGCCCAGGCGCGCCACUCACGCACGCCCACAGGUGCCGCCGUCAGACGCGUCAGGCGCGCGUGUAAGACCACAGGUGUGAAUCAUAGAUGCUAAUGGUGGGACUGCGGAAAAAUCCUGGUAACUUCCAUUCACCCUUCAAGGAGAGAGAACACGCCCAGGCGGCU